UGCGGUCUCCGCAGCAACUCACAACGUUCCCCCUCGUUUUCUUCUUGAGUUGUCAACUUAAACUUCUCUCGAAAACUAUAUAUUUUAAAGUCGUACCGUCGGCAGUUUGCUUUCUCCGCAAAUAUGAAAUCAUGCGCUAUAUCAUUUUUAGAGUUCAAAGUAGAUGUGGGACUCUCAGCUCCAACACUGAAGUCCUUGGAAAAUCCAAUUCUGUUGGCAUCACAGAUGGCUUGUAAAAGACACUCAUGCCCAUUGUAGCCGUAACUUUAAUAAUAAAACCGGAUUUAGCACAUGUACAUACGAUUAUUACAACAUACCCGUUAAGUAAAUACUCAAUAAAAGCGUAUAUAUUCCAGCGUA